rnacentral:misc_RNA from 1 species
UUAUUGAUAUGCUUAAGUUCAGCGGGUAUCCCUACCUGAUCCGAGGUCAACCUGAAAAAAUAGAUUGAGGGGGGUCGGCUGGCGCCGGCCGGGCCUACAAGAGCGGGUGACGAAGCCCCAUACGCUCGAGGACCGGACGCGGUGCCGCCGCUGCCUUUCGGGCCCGCCCCCCCAGCGCGGGGGGGGGCGGGGGCCCAACACACAAGCCGUGCUUGAGGGCAGCAAUGACGCUCGGACAGGCAUGCCCUCCGGAAUACCAGAGGGCGCAAUGUGCGUUCAAAGACUCGAUGAUUCACUGAAUUCUGCAAUUCACAUUAGUUAUCGCAUUUCGCUGCGUUCUUCAUCGAUGCCGGAACCAAGAGAUCCGUUGUUGAAAGUUUUAACUAAUUUAGCUAGUUUCUCAGACUGCAACUUCAGACAGCGUUCACAGGUGUCUUCGGCGGGCGCGGGCCCGGGGGCGGAAGCCCCCCGGCGGCCGUGAGGCGGGCCCGCCGAAGCAACAGGGUUCGGAAAACACGGGUGGGAGGUUGGACCCAGAGGGCCCUCACUCGGUAAUGAUCCUUCCGCAGGUUCACCUACGGAAACCUUG